AAGCACUUGAAAGGAAGAAAAAGCUUUCCAUUUUUAACUCAGUGAAUUUCAGAACAGAGCAAGCAACACAUGGACUUUAAAUGAUAAUGUUUGCCUACAGUAAACAGCACACUUGGUCUGCAGACUCGAUGCGAAUGGAAAGUAAUGGAGAAGAAUGCAUAUAAUUAGUAGUAGACAGCACUGGACACACACCCUGAUUUCCUGUAGAAAGACACCUGGAUUUGCACCUUUACAAGGAGUGGGAUAUCAUCCUCCCAGCUUCAUAAGGAGGGAUGAGGAUAUCACCAUAGACUGCCCAAGUUACAAUGUAUCUGAGGCAGCUUAAUUCCCCUUUUAUCU